rnacentral:rRNA from 1 species
CCUACGGGUGGCAGCAGUGAGGAAUAUUGGUCAAUGGCCGUAAGCCUGAACCAGCCAAGUAGCGUGAGGGAUGACUGCCCUAUGGGUUGUAAACCUCUUUUAUGCGGGGAUAAAGUUGUCCACGUGUGGGUGUUUGUAGGUACCGCAUGAAUAAGGACCGGCUAAUUCCGUGCCAGCAGCCGCGGUAAUACGGAAGGUCCGGGCGUUAUCCGGAUUUAUUGGGUUUAAAGGGAGCGUAGGCCGGUCUUUAAGCGUUCCGUGAAAUUUUGUGGCUCAACCCUGAGCGUGCGUGGCGAACUGGAGAACUUGAGUGUGCGGAAGGCAGGUGGAAUUCGUGGUGUAGCGGUGAAAUGCUUAGAUAUCACGAAGAACCCCGAUUGCGAAGGCAGUCUGCCGCAGCGUUACUGACGCUGAAGCUCGAAAGUGCGGGUAUCGAACAGGAUUAGAUACCCGGGUAGUC